rnacentral:rRNA from 1 species
AUUGAACGCUGGCGGCAUGCCUUACACAUGCAAGUCGAACGGCAGCACGGGUGCUUGCACCUGGUGGCGAGUGGCGAAAGGGUGAGUAAUACAUCGGAACAUGUCCUGUAGUGGGGGAUAGCCCGGCGAAAGCCGGAUUAAUACCGCAUACGAUCUACGGAUGAAAGCGGGGGACCUUCGGGCCUCGCGCGAUAGGGUUGGCCGAUGGCUGAUUAGCUGGUUUGUGGGGUAAAGGCCUACCAAGGCGACGAUCAGUAGCUGGUCUGAGAGGACGACCAGCCACACUGGGACUGAGACACGGCCCAGACUCCUACGGGAGGCAGCAGUGGGGAAUUUUGGACAAUGGGCGAAAGCCUGAUCCAGCAAUGCCGCGUGUGUGAAGAAGGCCUUCGGGUUGUAAAGCACUUUUGUCCGGAAAGAAAUCCUUGGCCCUAAUACGGUCGGGGGAUGACGGUACCGGAAGAAUAAGCACCGGCUAACUACGUG